rnacentral:rRNA from 1 species
UACGAAGGGGGCUAGCGUUGUUCGGAAUCACUGGGCGUAAAGGGCGCGUAGGCGGCUUGAUAAGUCGGGGGUGAAAGCCUGUGGCUCAACCACAGAAUUGCCUUCGAUACUGUCAGGCUUGAGACCGGAAGAGGUAAGUGGAACUGCGAGUGUAGAGGUGAAAUUCGUCGAUAUUCGCAAGAACACCAGUGGCGAAGGCGGCUCACUGGCCCGGUACUGACGCUGAGGUGCGAAAGCGUGGGGAGCAAACAGG